rnacentral:rRNA from 1 species
GCUACUGCCAUCAGAGUUCGAUUAAGCCAUGUUAGUCGAGGGUGCUUCUUCUUCGGAAGAUGUAACCCGGCGGACGGCUCAGUAACACGUGGAUAACUUGCCCUUGGGUCCGGGAUAACCCCUGAGAAAUUGGGGACAAUACCGGAUAGGGCAUCGAUAGCUGGAAUGCGCGAUGUCCAAAAGCUGAGGCGCCCAAGGAUAGGUCUGCGGCCGAUUAGGUUGUUGUUGAUGUAAUGGAUCAACAAGCCUGCAAUCGGUACGGGUUGUGAGAGCAAGAGCCCGGAGAUGGGUUCUGAGAAAAGAACCCAGGUCCUACGGGACGCAUCAGGCGCGAAAACUUUACAAUGUGCGAAAGCACGAUAAGGGAACUCUGAGUGCCUCCUAUGGAGGCUGUUCAGGUGUCUAAAAAGCACUUGAAGUAAGGGCUGGGUAAGACCGGUGCCAGCCGCCGCGGUAACACCGGCAGCCCAAGUGGUAGCCACGAUUAUUGGGUCUAAAGCGUCCGUAGCCGGCCAGGUAAGUUCUUUGGGAAAUUUAACCGCUCAACGGUUAAGCUUUCAGGGAAUACUGCUUGGCUUGGGACCGGGAGAGGUCAGAGGUACUUCAAGGGUAGGGGUGAAAUCCGUUAAUCCUUGAGGGACCACCAGUAGCGAAGGCGUCUGACCAGACCGGGUCCGACGGUGGGGGACGAAGGCUAGGGUCGCGAACCGGAUUAGAUACCCGGGUAGUCCUAGCUGUAAACGAUGCGGGCCAGGUGUUGGCAUUACCGCGAGUGAUGUCA